AGUGGUGGUAUGAUAGGUAGACGAUUUUGAACUUUUUUGGAAUGUUUAUAGUACUGUAAGUAUUAACUCGGAGGUUAAAUUAACAUGAAAUUUUUAACUUUAUUUGGAAAACCACUUGAGUUCAAAAUUAACAUGCAAUUUAAGUCUGAGCCCUAAGUUUCAUAUUCUUCCAAUGAUUUAUAAGAAAUAUUUAACAGCCCUAGUAGGAAGCUCACAUAAAGAUUGUCGGAGACCGUUUGUUCUCUUAUUCUUAAAGGGCAACAACCUGUUUAGGACCAUAUAAACUCAUAAGUUUGGCGCUAAUAGUUUUUUUUGUUUGGAACACAAAAAAAAUAGUUUACUUACUAAAGUUGUGUUUAAAAAAAAAAGUUUGUGUUUUAUUGGAAGAGGUAAGAAAAAAGUAAGAGACGGAAACUAU
rnacentral:lncRNA from 1 species